UGACUGAUUUUAAGUCCGCUAACUAGUUGGACGUCUUGUGACGCUUGUACAAUCAACGUUCGGCCUAGUCAUACAAUUGAAUAGCGCCAUCCAAUGAACACGCUAGUGGUUCAACCGAAAAGGAGAUUCAACCAGAUUCCUGCUACACAUACAUGAAAACAAUAUAAUAUCAGUUAUAUUGUAUCUUUAAGGUCGUCUUAUACCGUCCCGGGGUGGCAAGUACCCGGUGUUGUUGUACAAUCGCUACCCAUACCAGCACGUGAAUAGUGGAACAAAAGACAAGCUACUGUGGUACUGCAUUAAACGUGGCAGGCUGAAAUGUAGAGCUUACGUCAAAACGCACAAAGAAACCCCUGAAAUUCCAUUGGAAGUAAACGAAGUACACAACCACCAGCCUUCACAGUACCACAUCACAAAAACAGGACAAUAUAUCAUGAUUUAAAUUUCCAUUUCAAUGAAGACAUACAUCUGUUAUUAGAGGUCGUCUUAUACCGUCCCGGAGUGGCAAGCACCCGGUGUUGUUGUACAAUCGCUACUCAUACCAGCGCCACAGUGCACCCAGAGACAAGCUACUGUGGUACUGCAUUAAACGUGGCAGGCUGCAAUGUAGAGCUUACGUCAAAACGCACAAAGAAACCCCUGAAAUUCCAUUGGAAGUAAACGGGGUACACAACCACGAGCCUGCGCAGUACCACGUCACAAAAGAAGGGAAAUAUAUCAUGAUUUGAAUAACUUUGAAGAAAAAUUCAAUGAAGAAAUCACUAUUGUGUUUCGAUAGAUAGGGAUAAAAAUAUUGUGUGUACUUUUUAUGUGAGAAGCUGCAUCCUUGCAUGGCGUUUGUAGCAUGGAAUAAUAAAAUACAUUUCAACCUACUCCUACAACCUGUAUUUGUUAUAGUUUAGAACAUUAUCAGUCUCUUGCUCCUUAACGUCUACCAGGGUAAACUUGCUGGGUCUGACUUUCAGAGCUUGGGCAUCAUCCCGGCUACUCUGUUACAUUAGAUCACAAGCGUCCAUGCCAGGAUACAGCAUCAUCCAGGCUGCCAGUGCCAUAUUCUGAUCGAAAAUGGAACACAUGAUGCCGUGCCGUGGCGUGGCUAUGAAAGCUAGAAGUCAGAUUCUCAGACCACCCUGUUUAAAGGCAUCCUUUUACCGUCUCAGAAGGGAAAGCAUCCAUUACUAUUGUUCAGAAAUUACUCUUAUUUUUUUCAAACAUCUCCUAAGUGCAUUCGCUGGGUCUGUUCAAAAAGUAAAAGUGGGAAGUGUAAAGCAUAUCUGAAGGCAAACAUCAACACUAUCCAUGUACCGACCGAGAUAUUCGACGUACACAACCACGAACCGCCGAAGUACCACAUCACUAAAGAUGGAGAAUAUAUAAAAGUUUAAUGUAUUAAGUUUAUCUUGUGGUAUUGUCACACAGAGGAACUUCUGUACUAGCAUAUUGUUUUAUAGGUACAUUGCUUAAUACUUUUAAAUAGACCUACCGAUCAAAUAUAAUUUAUGUACUUUCAUUUUUGUUUUUUAUCAUAAUUCAUAAUAAUAAUUCAUAAUUCAUUUAUUUUCUCUUAAAUUUACAUCGUUAGCUUAAUAAUUAGGUAUAAUUAAUUAAUACAAAUUAAUAAUUGUAUAUUAAACAAAUUUACAAAUUGAUAAUAGGUAUAUCACAAUGUGUCAUUAAAUAAUUACAUAAUAUAAAAUAUAUAACAAAAGGUAUGUCAAAUUAGUUAAAUUAAAUUAAUACUUAUGUCAAAGAUAAUUAAAAUACAAAUUUUUGUACCUAUUGUACCUUAGCCAUACUUAUUUGUCAUUAAUAAAUUCGUCAAAUGUGUAAAAA